AAAUCACCGUACCCGUCUGCCUUUGAUAGGCGAAUAAAGCGCUCGGGUUCAUGCUCGGAUCUUGCUACGUGCUUGAUGAGCUUCAUGAGUAAAGUAAACAAUGACGGAGACAGAGAGAAGCUUCAGAGGAGAAACAUCCAGCAGUGUGAACAACCUCUUCUUAUGGAGUGCUUUGGCUCACACUAUCAGCGUUUUCUGUGAGUGUUGCAUGACUUUGGGUGAGAACAGAGAUGAACACACUGUCAGCCUCGUAUUUAUUUAUUCAUUUUUUAGUUUUUAGUUCUGCUUUUGUACUGGCACUAUACUGGGGCAGCUGUAUACCCUUUCAACACCUUAUUUUCUAUAGUUACAUUUGUAUUGAAUGGACACUUUAUCAUGACUGCCAUUUGUUUAACAGAAAGCAAAUUAUUUGUCAUUCUCCAGUGCAGAGCCUUUACUUUUAUUUAUACAGCCGCUUCAUUUCAUUUAAGUUUGUUUGUUCAAGGUUUUCAAAAAUGUGAUGAAGGUUCGCAAAACUAAAAGAGAGCUUUCUUGAAAGCCACAUGUUUAAGCUCUCAAAUACUUUUUGAAUUUUGUUUCUAUCUACUACAGAGGCCGAGAUAGCAGCUGUUUUGUAAACCUUAACACGUCAGAAAACCUCAGGAUCUGGGGGCCCUUCUCAAAAUGGCCCUCAGGAUUGUUUUUUUUUUCUAUUGAAGGAUUUCUGCAAUUGAGAAAUAUAUUAUUUUUUUUGUUAUAAUAAUAAUAAUAAUACUACAUAGUAAUACAAAACUAUCUGUUCAAAAUUCUAUCUCUUUUUGUGUUUGUGUGUGUGUGUGUGUGUGGGGGGGGGGGGGGGGCACUUGGAGGGGUGCUCGCCCGGGGAGUAAUUUGGUCUAGAACCGCCACUGACCUUGAGUUAUCCUCUUUGUCAUGUUUCUGUAUGCAGUAGUGAUAUAAUCAUUGCUGUACAGAUACAUAAAGGGACUAUGUGUCCAAUUAGUCCAAUUACAAGUUUUUGUGACAUAAAAACACAGUGUAAUUCCACUUUUGACACAUGAUUUAUAUUGACACUGUGCUGAGCUUAGUAAUGAUGCUGAUUGUGGUGAGACGAGUCAAAGUCCAGGUGAAGAGCUUUAAAGGAAUAUUCCAGCAUAAAAUUAAGUUAGGGUCAAACACACCGUAACACCGAGUUAGACACCCCCUCAAGAGAUGAAUGUUGCUGACCGCUUGCUUCUCUUGUUAUACCAACUUUAGUAACGACCGCAGGAUAGCAAUACACAGCUCAUUUCUUCAUGGAAAUGCAAUCAGACCAAGACGCUAAGGCAGAAGAACUACCAUGUCUGCAGUGCAAAAUGAAAAAUAUGAUGAUUAUUACUCCAAGGAAAUGAUAAAGAAAUGAUCAUAAAUGUUCUUCCUUGAGCUGUGCAACCCCGCUGUAGUCUGUAAUGGACUGGAGAUCUUGCUACAAACAAGCGGCUGCUGGAAGAGAGUAGGUGACUUGUGUUCAGUCUCUUUGCUAAAAAUAUUAGGCAAAGCUAAAAAGAUGUUUGGUGACCAGUACUUUGGCUGGGACCCUAUAUGUACUGAUGAUGAAGUUGGGUGCUGUUCUAAGCAUUAUUGUAGCUAUAGAGUGGUGUUUUGGUUGAUGUUUGUUUAUGGUUCCUCAGUCACUGUGUAUUGCUAUCCUGCGGUCAUUACUAAAGCUGGUAUUACUAGAGAAGCAAGCGGUCUGCAACAUUCAUCUCUCGAGGGGGUGUCUAACUAGGUGUUACGGUGUGUUUGACCCUAUAUUAAUUUUACGCCAGACUAUCCCUUUAAGUCUGACCAACAGUUAAUGUUUCUCUAAACUUCUUCCAUAGAUAAGUUUUGGAAGAAGGUGACUUUGCAAAAUCCUGCUCACAUCAGCAGACACAGCAUGACCCAUGUCCUGCAACCUCCCACCUCUGUUUCUCUUUCAGUUCCAUAGCUCUCUGUCAAGGUCAGCCAUAGGGGGAAACAGACCUGCCACUCAUCCACUAAACCCUGGAGGGGAAGGGUAUUUCCAUCCUGCUCUCUGACACCAGUGACCCAGUGUGGGUCGUGAGCACAGUCAGGGGAGACCACAGAGCCACAUGGUUUGUUUCAAACAACAGCUGUGCAUCAUCCAGCAUGACAAAACACUUGGACAAUGACUCCUCAGUGGACUUCAUCCAUGUGAGCUGUUCAUCAGCUCUUGUAGAGAGGUUUCAAUUGUAACACCAUUAUUAGUAUGUCAAGGAUUAAUUUAUGAUGUUUUGUCAUUGCAAUUCAGGAGUAAUGUGGGAUUGGAAACCAGGAAGAUCUCAUUCUUAAAGAUGUACUUUCCCACUGUCCUUUUUGAUUAACCAUUUAAU